rnacentral:rRNA from 1 species
UACGUAGGGGGCUAGCGUUGUCCGGAAUCAUUGGGCGUAAAGAGCGUGUAGGCGGCCCGGUAAGUCCGCUGUGAAAGUCGGGGGCCCAACCCUCGAAUGCCGGUGGAUACUGUCGGGCUAGAGUGCGGAAGAGGCGAGUGGAAUUCCUGGUGUAGCGGUGAAAUGCGUAGAUAUCAGGAGGAACACCGGUGGCGAAGGCGGCCGCCUGGACAGUAACUGACGCUGAGACGCGAAAGCGUGGGGAGCAAACAGG